CCACGACGACACCAUGGAAUCCUGCUGAUGAAGAUCUUUCGAGGGCAAUCGUCAGUCACGGGGUGGUUUCCGGCUUAGAACAGGACACAGCACAGGUGGAACCACUGAACCGUCAUGCUGGCUGUUCCCAACAAGGCCUGUCGACCAGAACUUCGAAGACUCCCCCGACACGACAGAUGGAUCCCCAUCGUCCGGAGCACUGAGGAUCUCGCCUGUGUUGGUAGCUAUU